GAGGAUAUAGCUCAAUGGUACAGUUCCAGCUUAGCAUGCAUGAGGUCCUGGGUUCCAUCCCCAGUAUCACCA
rnacentral:tRNA from 1 species